rnacentral:rRNA from 1 species
UGGGGAAUCUUGCGCAAUGGGCGAAAGCCUGACGCAGCAACGCCGCGUGUGUGAUGAAGGUCUUCGGAUCGUAAAGCACUGUCGCGAGGGAAGAGAUGCCCUUGGAUAACACCCGGGGGCUAGGACGGUACCUCGAGAGGAAGCACCGGCUAACUCUGUGCCAGCAGCCGCGGUAAUACAGAGGGUGCGAGCGUUGUUCGGAAUCAUUGGGCGUAAAGCGCUUGUAGGCGGCUUGUUAAGUCGCGUGUGAAAUCCCUUGGCUCAACCAAGGAAGUGCGCGCGAAACUGGCGAGCUCGAGUGCCGGAGAGGGUCGCGGAAUUCCCGGUGUAGAGGUGAAAUUCGUAGAUAUCGGGAGGAACACCAGUGGCGAAGGCGGCGACCUGGACGGACACUGACGCUGAGACGCGAAAGCGUGGGGAGCAAACAGGAUUAGAUACCCUGGUAGUCCACGCUGUAAACGAUGGAUGCUAGCUGUGGCGGGUUUUGACCCCUGCCGUGGCGCAGCUAACGCAAUAAGCAUCCCGCCUGGGAAGUACGGCCGCAAGGCUAA